AGUGAACGCUGGCGGUAGGCCUAACACAUGCAAGUCGAACGGCAGCACAGUAAGAGCUUGCUCUUACGGGUGGCGAGUGGCGGGCGGGUGAGGAAUACAUCGGAAUCUACUUUUUCGUGGGGGAUAACGUAGGGAAACUUACGCUAAUACCGCAUACGACCUACGGGUGAAAGCAGGGGAUCUUCGGACCUUGCGCGAUUGAAUGAGCCGAUGUCGGAUUAGCUAGUUGGCGGGGUAAAGGCCCACCAAGGCGACGAUCCGUAGCUGGUCUGAGAGGAUGAUCAGCUACACUGGAACUGAGACACGGUCCAGACUCCUACGGGAGGCAGCAGUGGGGAAUAUUGGACAAUGGGCGCGAGCCUGAUCCAGCCAUACCGCGUAGGUGAAGAAGGCCUUCGGGUUGUAAAGCCCUUUUGUUGGGAAAGAAAAGCAGCAGGUUAAUACCCCGCUGUUCUGACGGUACCCAAAGAAUAAGCACCGGCUAACUUCGUG
rnacentral:rRNA from 1 species